rnacentral:rRNA from 1 species
UACGUAGGGGGCUAGCGUUGUCCGGAAUCAUUGGGCGUAAAGCGCGUGUAGGCGGCCCGAUAAGUCCGCUGUGAAAGUCCAGGGCUCAACCCUGGAAUGCGGGUGGAUACUGCCGGGCUAGAGUCCGGAAGAGGCGAGUGGAAUUCCUGGUGUAGCGGUGGAAUGCGCAGAUAUCAGGAGGAACACCAAUAGCGAAGGCAGCUCGCUGGGACGGUACUGACGCUAAGGCGCGAAAGCGUGGGGAGCGAACAGG